rfam:Frankia sp. Dg2 genome assembly, contig: Dg2_contig2344
CCGGCACCGGUUCACGCCCUCGUUCGCAGGGUAGGGCGACCCGGCGGCC